GAAGUAAAAGUCGUAACAAGGUUUCCGUAGGUGAACCUGCGGAAGGAUCAUUAAAAAAUUGGACUCCAUUGGUGAGUUCAUUAAUAAUCCCUACCUUUGUGAAUUUGUUUGUUUGAAUAAUUUUUUUCCAAAAAAAAAUUAUUGAAUGUCUUUCCCUGUCUUGGUGGAGCUUGUAAAGUGAAACCAGGCAGGGGAAUGGCAAACAAUAAUUAUUUUUGAAAAAAGACCUUUUUUUAAAAUUAAACUUUUUGUAUUCAUUUGUCUAAAAUUAUUUUUAUAAUAUAAAAACAACUUUUGACAAUGGAUCUCUUGGUUCUCGCAACGAUGAAGAACGCAGCAAAAUGCGAUAAGUAGUGUGAAUUGCAGAAUACGUGAAUCAUCGAAUCUUCGAACGCAUAUUGCACUUUUUUAGUUUACUAAAAAAGUAUGUCUGUUUGAGUAUCAGUAAAAUAUUCUCAUAAAAAACAUUGUUUUUUUAUGGUUAUGAGUGUUUUACAACGAUAACAAGUUGUUUCACUUUAAAUUCUUUGUUAUCAAAAAAUCAUUAAAAGCUAAUUUUAAAGAUUUUUUAAAAUUGGAUAAAAUUUUCCCGUAAAAGGAAUAACCUAAACAAUUUUAAAAAAUUAAAAUUGGUUUGAUUUUUUUUGAAACCCAAAGGAAAAAAAAACGAAAUUAACUUGAUCUCAAAUCAGAUAAGAGUACCCGCUGAACUUAAGCAUAUCAAUAAGCGGAGGAAAAGAAACUAACUAGGAUUCCCUCAGUAACGGCGAGUGAAGCGGGAAGAGCUCAAAUUUGAAAUCUUCAAGGUUUACCUUGACGAAUUGUGGUUUAAAGAAGUGUUUUCUGUUGGAGUUUUGGUAAAAGUUCUUUGGAAAAGGACAUCAUAGAGGGUGAGAAUCCCGUAUUUGACCAUUAUCUCCAGCUUUGUGAUACACUUUCAAAGAGUCGGAUUGUUUGGGAAUGCAGUCCAAAAUGGGUGGUAAAUUUCAUCUAAAGCUAAAUACUGGCGAGAGACCGACAGCGAACAAGUACCGUGAGGGAAAGAUGAAAAGAACUUUGAAAAGAGAGUUAAACAGUACGUGAAAUUGUCAAAAGGGAAGCGUUUGACACCAGUGUUGUUUUCUCGAAAAUCAAUUAAAAAAGGCCGGAUUUUGUGUUGUAUUGACUUUAUCAGCUUUCUGCACUUUUUCUUGUCUUUUUUAAUGCACUUUCGUUUAACAAGUCAACAUCAACUGUCUUUUGUUGUAAAAGGGUCAUUGGAAGGUGGCUUUCUUUUCGGAGAAAGUGUUUAUAGCCUUUGGCCUCUGCAAUCGGAGAGAUUGAGGUCUGCAGCGUAGAUCCUUCGGGGUUAGAUACAUUUGUGCUAAGUUAUGGCCUUUCAUAGACAACUUGUUGACUAUGAUCAGUCAUGUAGCUUACUCGCUUAUGCUAUUUUACCUACGCUUAGGAUGUUGAAG
rnacentral:misc_RNA from 1 species